UCCAUACUAACCAAUCAGCACAUAGUAUCAUCCAUAUUAACCAAUCACCACACAGCAUUCUCCAUACCAGUGGUUCCCAAACCUUUUAUAUUAUAUUAUAUUUUUGAUCAUGAUCAUAUAUAUAUACAGUAUAUAUAUUUUUUAUUUAUUUGGCGUACCCCCGACGACAUUGCACAUACCCCAGGUUGGGAAUACCUGCUCCAUACUAACUAAUCAGCACACAGCACCCCCCAAACUAACCAAUCAGCACAGAGCAUCAUCCAGUGGAAACUGUAAGUGCUUUCUAAACCUACAGAGAAGGCCUAAGGGUUGAUAAAAUAAUAGAUGUAUUUUUUAUUUCAUUUCUCUCUUUUCAAUAAUAUUUAAAUGGUAAUCUGAUUAUUUUAUAAUUUUCAAUUAUAUUCUAAUUUAAUGUCUUCAGUUUGUGUUGGAAAGGAAAGGGUUAAGAGAGGAAAGGGUGAAGAGAAAAAAAUAUCCAAUCAGGAUUUUCUUUGGGGGUUGCUGGGGAGAUAAAACCAGUUAACUAGCUUAGCUAUUGACUUUCAGAAGCCUCUGCUAUUCAACUGUAUUAGAGCAGAAUUUUGGAGUGACAGUAGAAUCAACCAAUCACAUUUUGACUUGCAAUGGGUGGGACUGUUUUACAAAAAAAAGGAAAAUGUAGGGCUAGAGACAUGUCACUGCUGAGAGUGUGAGCCAACAGCACGAGCUCUAGUUUUCCUAUGGUCAAGUUAGUUUGUGUUGUAGGCUAGUGUGUAGGUGUUAUCUUUGAGGACUGAGGAGGAUGUGUUUGCUAAUUUGUUACCAUCGCCCUUUUCAAGAUUAACUUUCAACAAGAAGUUAAAAUGAUCAUUAUCAUGCCACUGUUUUAUUAUUAUCUCGCUUGCUGUUAACUAUCUACGGGUGACCAUGACUGGGUGAAACACGGGUGACCAUGACUGGGUGAAACACAGGUGACCAUGACUGGGUGAAACACGGGUGACCAUGACUGGGUGAAACACAGGUGACCAUGACUGGGUGAAACACGGGUGACCAUGACUGGGUGAAACACGGGUGACCAUGACUGGGUGAAACACGGGUGACCAUGACUGGGUGAAACACAGGUGACCAUGACUGGGUGAAACACGGGUGACCAUGACUGGGUGAAACACGGGUGACCAUGACUGGGUGAAACACGGGUGACCAUGACUGGGUGAAACACAGGUGACCAUGACUGGGUGAAACACGGGUGACCAUGACUGGGUGAAACACGGGUGACCAUGACUGGGUGAAACACGGGUGACCAUGACUGGGUGAAACACGGGUGACCAUGACUGGGUGAAACACGGGUGACCAUGACUGGGUGAAACACGGGUGACCAUGACUGGGUGAAACACGGGUACCCAUGACUGGGUGAAACACGGGUGACCAUGACUGGGUGAACCACGGGUGACCAUGACUGGGUGAAACACGGGUGACCAUGACUGGGUGAAACACGGGUGACCAUGACUGGGUGAAACACGGGUGACCAUGACUGGGUGAAACACGGGUGACCAUGACUGGGUGAAACACGGGUGACCAUGACUGGGUGAAACACGGGUGACCAUGACUGGGUGAACCACGGGUGACCAUGACUGGGUGAAACACGGGUGACCAUGACUGGGUGAAACACGGGUGACCAUGACUGGGUGAAACACGGGUGACCAUGACUGGGUGAAACACGGGUGACCAUGACUGGGUGAAACACGGGUGACCAUGACUGGGUGAAACACGGGUGACCAUGACUGGGUGAACCACGGGUGACCAUGACUGGGUGAAACACGGGUGACCAUGACUGGGUGAAACACGGGUGACCAUGACUGGGUGAAACACGGGUGACCAUGACUGGGUGAACCACGGGUGACCAUGACUGGGUGAAACACAGGUGACCAUGACUGGGUGAAACACGGGUACCCAUGACUGGUUGAAACACGGGUGACCAUGACUGGGUGAAACACGGGUGACCAUGACUGGGUGAAACACGGGUGACCAUGACUGGGUGAAACACGGGUGACCAUGACUGGGUGAAACACGGGUGACCAUGACUGGGUGAAACACGGGUGACCAUGACUGGGUGAAACAUGACUGCAUUCAACUUUAAGAUCACCGAUUACUUUGUGUGCAGAACUUGAUGAAACAAGUUAUCAAUGGGAUGUAGCUAGCCAAUAGUAGUACAUUUUGAUUUGGAAAUGCUAAAGGGUUGUAUUUUUAUUGUCAUGAUUGGGGCCAGUUGGCUUAUUAUGUCAGAUUGAAUGGGAUGUGACUGCUGUCUUUGUGUAGCAUCGUCCAUACCAACAGCACACAAUGAUUAUAUAAACAGAUGUGUAACCAGGUGUGUUAAUAUAAAAAGGUGUGUUAAUAUAACCAGGUGUGUAAAUAUAACCAGGUGUGUAAAUAUAACCAGGUGUGUAAAUAUAACCAGGUGUGUUAAUAUAACCAGGUGUGUUAAUAUAACCAGGUGUGUAAAUAUAACCAGUUGUGUUAAUAUAAACAGGUGUGUAACCAGGUGUGUUAAUAUAAACAGGUGUGUAACCAGGUGUGUUAAUAUAACCAGGUGUGUUAAUAUAACCAGGUGUGUAAAUAUAACCAGUUGUGUUAAUAUAAACAGGUGUGUAACCAGGUGUGUUAAUAUAAACAGGUGUGUAACCAGGUGUGUUAAUAUAACCAGGUGUGUUAAUAUAACCAGGUGUGUUAAUAUAACCAGGUGUGUAACCAGGUGUGUUAAUAUAACCAGGUGUGUUGAUAUAACCAGGUGUGUAACCAGGUGUGUUAAUAUAACCAGGUGUGUUAAUAUAACCAGGUGUGUAACCAGGUGUGUUAAUAUAAACAGGUGUGUAACCAGGUGUGUUAAUAUAACCAGGUGUGUUAAUAUAACCAGGUGUGUAAAUAUAACCAGUUGUGUUAAUAUAAACAGGUGUGUAACCAGGUGUGUUAAUAUAAACAGGUGUGUAACCAGGUGUGUUAAUAUAACCAGGUGUGUUAAUAUAACCAGGUGUGUUAAUAUAACAAGGUGUGUUAAUAUAACCAGGUGUGUAACCAGGUGUGUUAAUAUAACCAGGUGUGUUAAUAUAACCAGGUGUGUAACCAGGUGUGUUAAUAUAACCAGGUGUGUUAAUAUAACCAGGUGUGUAACCAGGUGUGUUAAUAU